rnacentral:rRNA from 1 species
CAGUCGCCGCGGGAAUACGGAGGGUGCAAGCGUUAAUCGGAAUUACUGGGCGUAAAGCGCACGCAGGCGGUCUGACAAGUCAGAUGUGAAAUCCCCGGGCUUAACCUGGGAACUGCAUUUGAAACUGUCAGGCUGGAGUCUUGUAGAGGGGGGUAGAAUUCCAGGUGUAGCGGUGAAAUGCGUAGAGAUCUGGAGGAAUACCGGUGGCGAAGGCGGCCCCCUGGACAAAGACUGACGCUCAGGUGCGAAAGCGUGGGGAGCAAACAGGAUUAGAGACCCCAGUAGUCCCUGUCUCUUAUAC